UAGAGGAGUAUUCCAGGGAGACUAGCAA
rnacentral:misc_RNA from 1 species